GAUGAAGAACGCAGCGAAAUGCGAUAAGUAGUGUGAAUUGCAGAAUUCGGUGAAUCAUCGAAUCUUUGAACGCACAUUGCGCCCCUUGGUAUUCCAUGGGGCAUGCCUGUUCGAGCGUCAUUUGUACCUUCAAGCUUUGCUUGGUGUUGGGUGUUUGUCUCGCCUUUGCGUGUAGACUCGCCUUAAAAUAAUUGGCAGCCGGCGUAUUGAUUUCGGAGCGCAGUACAUCUCGCGCUUUGCACUCAUAACGACAGCGUCCAAAAGUACAUUUUACACUCUUGACCUCGGAUCAGGUAGGGAUACCCGCUGAACUUAAGCAUAUCAAUAAGCGGAGGA
rnacentral:misc_RNA from 1 species